GACGUAACGCUGGCGGCGGCGCCUAACACAUGCAAGUCGAACGAGCGAGAGAGAGCUUGCUUUCUCGAGCGAGUGGCGAACGGGUGAGUAACGCGUGAGGAACCUGCCUCAAAGAGGGGGACAACAGUUGGAAACGACUGCUAAUACCGCAUAAGCCCACAGGUCGGCAUCGACCAGAGGGAAAAGGAGCAAUCCGCUUUGAGAUGGCCUCGCGUCCGAUUAGCUAGUUGGUGAGGUAACGGCCCACCAAGGCGACGAUCGGUAGCCGGACUGAGAGGUUGAACGGCCACAUUGGGACUGAGACACGGCCCAG
rnacentral:rRNA from 1 species